rnacentral:rRNA from 1 species
CACGUAGGGCGCGAGCGUUGUCCGGAAUUAUUGGGCGUAAAGAGCUCGUAGGCGGCCUGUUGCGUCCGCUGGUGAAAAGCCCGGGGCUUAACCCCGGGUCGGCAGUGGAUACGGGCAGGCUAGAGGUGAGGUAGGGGAGAAUGGAAUUCCCGGUGGUAGCGGUGAAAUGCGCAGAUAUCGGGAGGAACACCGGGUGGCGAAGGCGGUUCUCUGGGCCUUACCUGACGCUGAGGAGCGAAAGCGUGGGGAGCGAACAGG